rnacentral:rRNA from 1 species
UACGUAGGUGGCAAGCGUUGUCCGGAUUUACUGGGCGUAAAGAGCGCGCAGGCGGUCGUGCAAGUCGCGUGUGAAAGCCCCCGGCUCAACUGGGGAGGGUCACGCGAUACUGCUCGACUCGAAGGCAGGAGAGGGAAGUGGAAUUCCCGGUGUAGUGGUGAAAUGCGUAGAUAUCGGGAGGAACACCAAUUGCGAAGGCAGCUCGCUGGGACGUUACUGACGCUGAGACGCGAAAGCGUGGGGAGCAAACAGG